rnacentral:rRNA from 1 species
AACGAACGCUGGCGGCAGGCCUAACACAUGCAAGUCGAACGCCCUAGCAAUAGGGAGUGGCAGACGGGUGAGUAACGCGUGGGAACCUUCCCUGUGGUGCGGAAUAACUCGCCGAAAGGCGUGCUAAUACCGCAUAAGCCCGCAAGGGGAAAGAUUUAUCGCCAUAGGAUGGGCCCGCGUAGGAUUAGCUAGUUGGUGAGGUAAUGGCUCACCAAGGCGACGAUCCUUAGCGGUUUGAGAGAAUGACCAGCCACACUGGGACUGAGACACGGCCCAGACUCCUACGGGAGGCAGCAGUGGGGAAUCUUGGACAAUGGGCGCAAGCCUGAUCCAGCCAUGCCGCGUGAGUGACGAAGGCCUUC